rnacentral:tRNA from 1 species
AUUACUGUAAAGUAAUGGAUACUUCAACCAUUUUGAUCGGUUUUGUCUCGGAUAGUGGCCGAGCAGGAUAGUGGCCGAGCAGGAAUA